rnacentral:rRNA from 1 species
AGAGUUUGAUUCUGGCUCAGAACGAACGUUAGCGGCGCGCCUAACACAUGCAAGUCGCACGAGAAAGGGCUUCGGCCCCGGUACAGUGGCGCACGGGUGAGUAACACGUAGAUAAUCUUCCCUCGGGUGGUGGAUAACUCUCCGAAAGGAGAGCUAAUACAGCAUGAGACCACGGCUCCCCUGGAGCUGCGACCAAAGCAGGCCUCUAUACAUAAGCUUGCGCCUGAGGAUGAGUCUGCGGCCCAUCAGCUAGUUGGUAGGGUAAUGGCCUACCAAGGCUAAGACGGGUAGCUGGUCUGAGAGGAUGAACAGCCACACUGGAACUGAGACACGGUCCAGACUCCUACGGGAGGCAGCAGUGGGAAUCUUGCGCAAUGGGCGAAAGCCUGACGCAGCGACGCCGCGUGAGCGAUGAAGGCCUUCGGGUUGUAAAGCUCUGUGGGGAGGAAAGAAUAAGGGUUGGCUAAUAUCCAACUUGAUGACGGUACCUCCUUAGCAAUCACCGGCUAACUCUGUGCCAGCAGCCGCGGUAAGACAGAGGGUGCAAACGUUGUUCGGAAUUACUGGGCGUAAAGCGCGUGUAGGCGGCUCUGUAAGUCGGAUGUGAAAUCCCACGGCUCAACCAUGGAAGUGCAUUCGAAACUACAGGGCUAGAGUUCUGGAGAGGAAGGUGGAAUGCUUGGUGUAGAGGUGAAAUUCGUAGAUAUCAAGCGGAACACCGGUGGCGAAGGCGGCCUUCUGGACAGUAACUGACGCUGAGACGCGAAAGCGUGGGGAGCAAACAGGAUUAGGUACCCUGGUAGUCCACGCCGUAAACGAUGAGUGCUAGGUGUCACGGGCUUUGACCCUCGUGGUGCCGAAGCUAACGCGUUAAGCACUCCGCCUGGGGAGUACGGUCGCAAGACUAAAACUCAAAGAAAUUGACGGGGGCCCGCACAAGCGGUGGAGCAUGUUGUUUAAUUCGACGCAACGCGAAGAACCUUACCUGGGCUAGAAAGUACAGGAAGUCGGUCGAAAGGUCGAUGUGCCCUUCGGGGAACCUGUGGUUAGGUGCUGCAUGGCUGUCGUCAGCUCGUGUCGUGAGAUGUUGGGUUAAGUCCCGCAACGAGCGCAACCCCUGUUGUUAGUUGCCAGCAUUAAGUUGGGCACUCUAACAAGACUGCCGACCUUUAAGUCGGAGGAAGGUGGGGAUGACGUCAAGUCAUCAUGGCCCUUAUGUCCAGGGCUACAAACGUGCUACAAUGGUCGAUACAAAGGGUUGCGAACCCGCGAGGGGAAGCCAAUCUCAAAAAGUCGACCUCAGUACAGAUAGGAGUCUGCAACUCGACUCCUUGAAGUCGGAAUCGCUAGUAAUCGCUGAUCAACAAAAAAAAAAAAG